GACGAACGCUGGCGGCGUGGAUUAGGCAUGCAAGUCGAACGACGGUAGGGCUUCGGCCCUAUACGGAGUGGCGAACGGGUGAGUAACACGUGAACAAUCUGUCCUUACGUUCCGAAUAAUUGACCGAAAGGUCUUGUAAUGCGGGCGAGGAUGAAGGGAAGGCAUCUUUUCUUCAGGGAACGCGCAAGUGGCGCAAGGAGGAGUUCGCGGCCUAUCAGGUAGUAGGUGGGGUAAUGGCCUACCUAGCCGACGACGGGUAGCUGGUCUGAGAGGAUGGUCAGCCACAUUGGAACUGAGAUACUGUCCAGACUCCUACGGGAGGCUGCAGUCGAGAAUCUUGGGCAAUGCACGAAAGUGUGACCCAGCGACGCCGCGUGGAGGAAGAAGGCCCUUGGGUCGUAAACUCCUUUAGAGCAGAAGAAUGAGCCGCAAGGCUUUUGACGGUAUGCUCUGAAUAAGCCACGGCUAACUACGUGCCAGCAGCCG
rnacentral:rRNA from 1 species